rnacentral:rRNA from 1 species
AACGAACGCUGGCGGCAGGCCUAACACAUGCAAGUCGAACGCCGUAGCAAUACGGAGUGGCAGACGGGUGAGUAACACGUGGGAACGUACCCUCGGUUCGGAAUAACUCAGGGAAACUUAGAGCUAAUACCGGAUACGUCCGAGAGGAGAAAGAUUUAUCGCCGAGGGAUCGGCCCGCGUCUGAUUAGCUUGUUGGUGAGGUAACGGCUCACCAAGGCGACGAUCAGUAGCUGGUCNGAGAGGAUGAUCAGCCACAUUGGGACUGAGAC